rnacentral:rRNA from 1 species
GAUGAACGCUAGCUACAGGCUUAACACAUGCAAGUCGAGGGGCAGCAUUAGGUAGCAAUACUGAGAUGGCGACCGGCGCACGGGUGCGUAACGCGUAUCCAACCUUCCUGUUACUCAUGGAUAGCCUUCCGAAAGGGAGAUUAAUACAUGAUGGUGUUGAAAUUCCGCAUGUUAUUUCAACUAAAGAUUUAUCGGUAACGGAUGGGGAUGCGUGACAUUAGAUAGUAGGCGGGGUAACGGCCCACCUAGUCUACGAUGUCUAGGGGUUCUGAGAGGAAGGUCCCCCACACUGGAACUGAGACACGGUCCAGACUCCUACGGGAGGCAGCAGUGAGGAAUAUUGGUCAAUGGCCGGAAGGCUGAACCAGCCAAGUAGCGUGAAGGAUGAAGGUUCUAUGGAUUGUAAACUUCUUUUAUACGGGAAUAAAACCUCCCACGUGUGGGAGCUUGUGUGUACCGUAUGAAUAAGCAUCGGCUAACUCCGUGCCAGCAGCCGCAGUAAGAC